UUCUAUGCAGCUCCCCUCACCCACUCGCCCAACCCCUACCCGUCUCUUAUCCAUUCCAGUGACUGAGAGUCAGAGGAGAUGCGGCAGCGACACCGAUCUGCUUGCGGCGGCCAUGGCGGGUCUUGCGGCGUGGGACAGCUGCUUCCGGCGUCCGACGGCAGCACGCAUCCCCAGAGGCCGACCUGCUCAAGCUACGCGCAGCUCGUCCACCUUCCACUCAAAGCGACAACGGCGGCCGCGGAGGACCAGUGGCAGCCAUGGCUGGUCUCGAUUCGACGUGCGGCGGCAGGGCUAGGCGCGUGUAGGCUGCUCGGCAUCAGCGGCCGACAGCGCGCGCCUGUGCAAGGAGGUCCGCGUCGAAGAAUAUCAGAGCCGCCUUGUUCUUGAACUCACAGAGGAGCAUGUGGUCGCCCUCUGGGUCCUUGUACUGGCGAGGCGACGAAUCGGUGACCACGCUCCGGGGCGAGCGAGGCCGGGGUGCACGGCGAGCCAAGCCACUAUCCUGGGCGCUGUAAUUGGAAAUUUCGGGCCGAGCGAGCACAUCUGGUUGGUUAGCUGGCGCCUUGGCGGGAGCUACUGUUGCUCCUCGCUGGGAACAACCACCAUAUCCUCAGGCGGCGGUAGCGACUCGUUCGUGUGCGCGCUGGGCCGGAGCGUCACGGGCGCCAUCACGGCGACCACACCAAGCGCAAGGGCCUUGGGAACACGCCAGAUGCCCCUACACUACAAGCUUUCUCGGAAGAUGGCAUUAGGCAGUGUUCUUUCAUGGCACUACUAUCUAUUUCAUGAGGAACCACUUGGCACAUCUGUAGGAUCGCAAUGUUCAGCCUGGCUUCUAUCUUUGAUCUGGAUGUAAGAUGCGGUGACCUUGGCGCCACAACCAUGGAGACAGCCAGUCUGGACAUGAUGGUGGCAGGGGUUCAGCAGCGAGAAAAGGAGGAGAGUCUGAAAAGUAAGCACAAUUACUGAUCAUUUUUACAAUUGCUGAUUUAGAUUCCGAUUCAUACUCUAAAAUAGGAGGGCUAAAAUUCUGUAUUCAACCGCUAUAAAUAAACUACACAAGAUGAUAGUGA